GAUGAACGCUGGCGGCGUGCCUAAUACAUGCAAGUCGAGCGAAUGGAUUAAGAGCUUGCUCUUAUGAAGUUAGCGGCGGACGGGUGAGUAACACGUGGGUAACCUGCCCAUAAGACUGGGAUAACUCCGGGAAACCGGGGAUAAUACCGGAUAACAUUUUAAACCGCAUGGUUCGAAAUUGAAAGGCGGCUUCGGCUGUUACUUAUGGAUGGACCCGCGUGGCAUUAGCUAGUUGGUGAGGUAACGGCGCACCAAGGCAACGAUGCGUAGCCGACCUGAGAGGGUGAUCGGCCACACUGGGACUGAGACACGGCCCAGACUCCUACGGGAGGCAGCAGUAGGGAAUCUUCCGCAAUGGACGAAAGUCUGACGGAGCAACGCCGCGUGAGUGAUGAAGGCUUUCGGGUCGUAAAACUCUGUUGUUAGGGAAGAACAAGUGCUAGUUGAAUAAGCUGGCACCUUGACGGUACCUAACCAGAAAGCCACGGCUAACUACGUGCCAGCCGCCGCCGUAA
rnacentral:rRNA from 1 species